UACGAAGGGUGCAAGCGUUGUUCGGAAUCACUGGGCGUAAAGAAUGCGUAGGCGGCUUAAUAAGUCGGAAGUGAAAUCCCAGGGCUUAACCCUGGAACUGCUUUCGAAACUAUUUUGCUAGAGUCCCGGAGGGGUUAGCGGAAUUCCGAGUGUAGAGGUGAAAUUCGCAGAUAUUCGGAGGAACACCAGUGGCGAAGGCGGCUAACUGGACGGGAACUGACGCUGAGGCAUGAAAGUGUGGGGAUCAAACAGGAUUAGAUACCCUGGUAGUCCACACCGUAAACGAUGUGUGCUAGUUGUCAGGCAGCUUUGCUGUUUGGUGACGGAGCUAACGUUUUAAGCACACCGCCUGGGAAGUACGGCCGCAAGGUUAAA
rnacentral:rRNA from 1 species